rnacentral:piRNA from 1 species
CCUGCCUGCGUAUGUAAUGGUGGCUGAUGG